GAUACAUGACUUAUUGUGAUUUCUGGAACGUAGCGCUAUAAAUAAAGUUUACAGAGGUUUUCGUGGUAGAUAUAUUCAGGGUACGUCCGUUAAGUUAUUAGAUUUGACUAUAAAUUGUUUUGCUGGGGGCUCUUCUUAUCUGUGAUGAACAUGUGAUUGACAAAUGUUUUCCACUGACAAUACAGACCUCACACCAAAAUGAAACGGCUGUGACUCACAGUAUGUCCAGCUGGCAUUGUGUUU